rnacentral:rRNA from 1 species
AUUGAACGCUGGCGGCAGGCCUAACACAUGCAAGUCGAGCGGAUGAGGGGAGCUUGCUCCUUGAUUCAGCGGCGGACGGGUGAGUAAUGCCUAGGAAUCUGCCUGGUAGUGGGGGAUAACGUUCCGAAAGGAACGCUAAUACCGCAUACGUCCUACGGGAGAAAGCAGGGGACCUUCGGGCCUUGCGCUAUCAGAUGAGCCUAGGUCGGAUUAGCUAGUUGGUGAGGUAAUGGCUCACCAAGGCGACGAUCCGUAACUGGUCUGAGAGGAUGAUCAGUCACACUGGAACUGAGACACGGUCCAGACUCCUACGGGAGGCAGCAGUGGGGAAUAUUGGACAAUGGGCGAAAGCCUGAUCCAGCCAUGCCGCGUGUGUGAAGAAGGUCUUCGGAUUGUAAAGCACUUUAAGUUGGGAGGAAGGGCAGUAAGUUAAUACCUUGCUGUUUUGACGUUACCGACAGAAUAAGCACCGGCUAACUCUGUGCCAGCAGCCGCGGUAAUAC